rnacentral:rRNA from 1 species
GACGAACGCUGGCGGCGUGCCUAAUACAUGCAAGUAGAACGCUGAAGAGAGGAGCUUGCUCUUCUUGGAUGAGUUGCGAACGGGUGAGUAACGCGUAGGUAACCUGCCUGGUAGCGGGGGAUAACUAUUGGAAACGAUAGCUAAUACCGCAUAAAAUUGAUUAUUGCAUGAUAAUUAAUUGAAAGAUGCAACUGCAUCACUACCAGAUGGACCUGCGUUGUAUUAGCUAGUUGGUGAGGUAACGGCUCACCAAGGCGACGAUACAGAGCCGACCUGAGAGGGUGGGCGGCCGCACUGGGAGUGUGACAGGGCCCAGAGGGCUGCGGGAAGCGGCAGGAGGGAAACGGGGGGAAGGGGGGGGACACUGAGCGAGAAGGGCCGCGGGAGUGAAGAGGGUUGUCGGGUGGGAAAGGACUGUUGUAAGGGAAGAAAGGGUGUGAGAGUGGAAAGAUGAGAGAGUGACGGUAUCUUACCAGAAAGGGACGGCUAACUACGUG